AGAAUAGGACCUACAAUUGGCAAAGGCGGCAAUGGCAGAUUGGGACCUACCACUGGAGGUAUGGGUAGCCCUGAAAUCGGAGGAAGGGGUAGCUUAGGGACGGUCACUGGAGGAACGGGUAGCUUAGGUACAGUUACCGGGGGAACGGGUAGCUUAGGGACUGUCACUGGAGGAACGGGUAGCUUGGGGACGGUCACUGGAGGAACGGGUAGCUUGGGGACGGUCACAGGAGGAACGGGUAGCUUAGGUACAGUCACUGGUGGAACGGGUAGCUUAGGGAUGGUCACAGGAGGAACGGGUAGCUUAGGGACGGUCACCGGAGGGACUGGUAGCUUAGGGACGGUCACCGGAGGAACUGGUAGCUUAGGGACGGUCACCGGAGGAACUGGUAGCUUAGGGGCUUUAGGGGAGUGCUUUCCGCCCUUCCGUGGGUUGCAAGAGCCGCAUGCGAGAGAAUGUUGGGGGAGAUAGAUAAUGCAAAUGAGGAAGAGGCAAAGAGAGAGAGAUGAGAGUUUGGAGGAGUCCAUGUUGAGUAGAGUGGAUGGUGUAACUAUACGAAAGAGUAUAUGAAUAUAUAGAGGGAAAAUGAGAAGAAGAAUUCACGUGAAGAUGGGGGCUACUUCUGCAAUAAGAAGAGACGCCCCAAAAUAAGCAUGGUUGGCAAUUAUCAUAAGAAUACAAGAUUUCCUUGAUGACCCAUCGCUAUAUAUCAUCACAUGUCGACCACACUUUUUUCACUUUUUUUUUUCUAAGUGCCUCUUGUUCUUGGGUUAACUACAACUUUUAACAACGUGUAACUUCAGUUUCAACAGUACAGUACAUUUAACUUGUAGGAAUUGUAAUGAAUCAACUUAGCGAGACUAGGUCAUUAUGAGAUAUCAUCAAUACUAAAUAACAUUUUGAUGAUGUAAACACUCUAGGAAAAGCAGAUAAUAUAGUAUCAUAUGGUUUUCGCUUUAGUGUGUGGCUUCAUAAGCAUCUCCAUGCAUGAGUCGACUGCUAAGGAACAUAUAGAUCUGCACCAUAGUGAAGACGGCUUAGUCUAUUCAAAACACUAAUGUUGUGCCUUUCGAGGACCUCCCGAGACUCGAAUUCGAAUGCACUCUCCAAAGGUAUUAUGUUAGGGAAAAAACCUUAUUAAACCAAAUAUGUUACUGUUUAACCCAUACACGAAAAUUAGAUAUAUAAAUGUUGAACAAAUAGCAUAUAGUUAUAUCCAAUAUAUACGUACAUGAGAGGUAAAGAAGACAGCAAGACUGACAUGUGAAAUUCGGGAUACACUUUUGUUGUUUGGUGAUUUUGUUACGUAGUGUCAUUAAAGAAACGAUCAUGUGUGCGUGGACCAUCUUCUUCUUUUUACCGCUCAUUUCCCUUUUUACCAUAUCUACUACAAAAGAGUCCGAACUGACCAUUUAAUGAACGAGUACCAUUCAAUUCAUAAACUCCCCGUAUCAAUCUAACUGACACUGUAAAAGUUAUAAUGUUAAUAUAUAAAAAUAAUAUGGUUAUUUAGCAUGAAUAAUAACUUUUUAUAAUUGAGAGUAUGUCUAGCUAACAUUGGUGAUUGGUGCUUACAUAAAUCAUAUUUUUCAAACCACUUAACAAGAACUUUACAUAUUCAAUGAUAAACGAAUCACAUUUAUACAAUAUACCAUUCAAAAAUAAUAUUGUAAGAUGAUUUGAAAUUAAACGAUUGUAAUAUAUAAUGUGUUAAAAGUAAUGUAUUAUAGAUAUCUUGUAAUUAUUUAAAGGGUUUUGUGCAAAAAAAAAAACCACUAACUCAUACAUUUUUCCAAUUUACUAUCCAGCUCUAAUAAAUGCACAUUAAUCCUAUGAAUCUAAAAUAAUACGCAUUGUAACCCUUUUUGACCAUUUUUUGCUACCAUCAAUUUUGUAAAAUAUUGAUAUAUAAUAUGUUAAAUCAAAGCUCUCGCGACCAAGAGUUCAACUCUACCUUUAAAAAUUUUAAAAUGUAAUGUAUGUAACCGUAAAAACGCUUGUAAUAUGCAUAUGAAAUUUAUAUUACAUAUUAUGUUAAACUUCAUAAGAUUAAUCUGCAUUUGUUGGUAGUGCAUUUGUUAGAGGUGGAAGGUAAUGUUGCAAAAAUAGAUGAGUUAAAAGAUUUCUUUUUGCACAAAACCCUUUAUUUAAACUACUAACAAUAUAAUAUAUAAAUAAUUUAAAACAUAUAUCUCUAUAAUUCAUGAAGUAAUAAUGGUGUACCCUAUCCUUACCAACGAAUAAUAAAGAAAUGAUAUUAACUCUGAUUCAAAAGCUAUAUAUAAGAUAUUCUUUUUUUUUCCUCGGGAGGGAUACGAAUCCGGUAACAUGAAUCAGUGUCCAAUAAGAGCCAGUGGUCGUAAAUUCCAAAUGACAGAUGGAUGACUCAUUUUAAUUCGUAACUUUUGUCAGCUGCGAUAUAUGCUAAUGAAACCUGAGGUGCUAGAUUUUGAUUUUAAUGGCUUUAGAUUCUUACUCAACACUCAAUGGCCCACUCGUUAAUCUCUUACCUUCUAAAGUGAGUUAUGAUCCACUGCUUCUUUCUUCUUGUAGAUAGAUGGACCUGUUUUUUUUAGGUUGUGAUUUGUGGACAUUAAUCAACAACCCAUGUUUAUACGUGAUAAUGUCUGGAGCUAUAUGUAAAGGCGAUAUGGAGGACAACAUUCCUCUAUUCUAACUUUAAAAGCCAUGUAGUUAGGGCUGGACACCAAUAUUCUUUUUUUUUUUGCUAAAUUGUAAAUAUCAUUUUGAUGAAAAAUCAGGUUUUACAACAGUUGUAUAACCUAAAACAUUUGAACUCUUUGGCAAAAAAGAAUAAAAAAACGAAGAGCCAAUCGAGAGCUGCAUAGAACUCGGUAGUUUCAUAGCAGCCACAACGCUAUUAACUUGCGAAAAAGGAGUCUGUUUCUUCUUGAGGUGAUAACGUUUUUGAUUUUGCGGUUGAUGCACUUGAAUAUAGAAUGCGGAGAGAGGGAAGUAGCGUUGUGCAGGACAUUGUUAGGCUGCUUCAAGAUGUGGAAGACCUUAGACUGAACGACAAUAAUUUUAAGAACUGAUGAAGCCAAUAUUCAUCAUUUUCAAACAAAAAAUAUCUUUUGUUUGACACCAAUAUCCUUGACCAGCUUCAAACAAAGGAUAUACAUCAUUUUUAAGUCGGGUAAGGCAAAUGAGUAUAAGGAUUCUCAUUACACAU
rnacentral:lncRNA from 1 species